UACGAAGGGUGCAAACGUUGCUCGGAAUUAUUGGGCGUAAAGCGCACGUAGGCGGCUUUGCAAGUCGGAUGUGAAAUCCCUCGGCUCAACCAAGGAAGUGCAUCCGAAACUGCAGAGCUUGAGUACUUAAGAGGAUCGCGGAAUUCCCGGUGUAGAGGUGAAAUUCGUAGAUAUCGGGAGGAACACCAGUGGCGAAGGCGGCGAUCUGGGAAGAUACUGACGCUGAGGUGCGAAAGCGUGGGAAGCAAACAGG
rnacentral:rRNA from 1 species